GCAUAGGAAUCUGCCCGGUAUGGGGGAUAACCUGGGGAAACCCAGCUAAUACCGCAUACGUCCUACGGGAGAAAGCAGGGAUCUUCGGACCUUGCGCUAUCGGAUGAGCCUAUGUCGGAUUAGCUAGUUGGUGAGGUAAUGGCUCACCAAGGCCGCGAUCCGUAGCUGGUCUGAGAGGAUGAUCAGCCACAUCGGGACUGAGACACGGCCCGAACUCCUACGGGAGGCAGCAGUGGGGAAUAUUGGACAAUGGGCGAAAGCCUGAUCCAGCCAUGCCGCGUGUGUGAAGAAGGCUUUCGGGUUGUAAAGCACUUUCAGUGGGGAAGAAAUCCUCGGGGCCAAUACCCUCGAGGGAGGACAUCACCCACAGAAGAAGCACCGGCUAACUCCGUGCCAGCAGCCGCGGUAAUACGGAGGGUGCGAGCGUUAAUCGGAAUUACUGGGCGUAAAGCGCGCGUAGGCGGCGUGAUAAGCCGGUUGUGAAAGCCCCGGGCUCAACCUGGGAACGGCAUCCGGAACUGUCAGGCUAGAGUGCAGGAGAGGAAGGUAGAUUCCCG
rnacentral:rRNA from 1 species